rnacentral:rRNA from 1 species
GACGAACGCUGGCGGCGUGCUUAACACAUGCAAGUCGAACGGAAAGGCCCUGCUUUUGUGGGGUGCUCGAGUGGCGAACGGGUGAGUAACACGUGAGUAACCUGCCCUUGACUUUGGGAUAACUUCAGGAAACUGGGGCUAAUACCGGAUAGGAGCUCCUGCUGCAUGGUGGGGGUUGGAAAGUUUCGGCGGUUGGGGAUGGACUCGCGGCUUAUCAGCUUGUUGGUGGGGUAGUGGCUUACCAAGGCUUUGACGGGUAGCCGGCCUGAGAGGGUGACCGGCCACUUUGGGACUGAGACACCGCCCAACCCCCUAGGGGGGGCAGAAGGGGGGAAUUGUGCAAAAGGGGCGGAAGCCUGAUGCAACAACGCCGGUGGGGGGAAGAGGGCCUUCGGUGUGAAAACCUGUUUCGCCUGUGACAAAGCGUGAGUGAGGGUAAUGGGUAAAAAAGCACCGGCAAACUCCGG